AGGGUUUUUAUUUUAUACUUUAAACCUUGAAUUUAUUUUUUAAAUGUUUUAUUCAAAUAAUAUAAACAUUUAAAAAAUAUAAAAAAUAAUAUAUAUAUUGACAUGGAUUAAACAAAGAUAUAUAUUAUUCUAUGUUGUAUAAACAAAUUGGCAAAAUAGAGAUGGAAGAUAAAAAUAUGGUCAAAGUAAUAAGAGUCUAUGGUGAAUACCUAGGAGCUUUAAGGCGAGGAAGGUCGUGGUAAGCUGCGAAAAGCUUGGGGGAGAAGCAAACAUUUAUUGAUCCCAAGAUUACCGAAUGGAGUAAUCCAGCUAGCAAGAUGCUAGCUAUCUAUUAUUUAAAUAAUAGAGGCGAUACCAGG
rnacentral:misc_RNA from 1 species